UGUGAUAAUAGGAUUGUAUCCCAGUGUAGUUCAUGGAACUCAGAAAUGCCAAAAAGACAAACAAUAGCUAGGUGUUCUCCCUUCUAAACGACACACAGGAUAUUUGUAGGGCAUUUCUGCAGUUACCUGGAGGGUAGCAAGUUCAAAGCUGACAUUUAGAAGCUUGGGAAGGUGAAGAACUAAGCUGGAAUGGGUCCUUCAUAGAGUCCCUGGUAGGGGAAGUCAUUGAACAUGGGGACAGGCUGGGGAUAGGGGCAGGAGUCACAAAAACAUGCACUCUAAGUUGAUGUAAAAUUUUCUAUGAACAAAGCCGUCCUCCUCACUAGGUGUAAAACCCCGCUACAAGGUGAGGUGCUACCGUGAUUUGCCUUCAGUAUGUGAACCUAGCAGGCAGCCAUUACACUGCUUUGAUGGGACUGACUAGAGGGGGCCCUUUAAAGUGUUCCUCGCAGAGAUUUUGGCAGAGUAAACACACACCCUGCCCGGGAGGGAGAUCAUGCCUUUUGAGGGAGUAUAUCUUUCUCACUUUGUAGCCAAAGCCUCUCCCGGGAGGAAGCAGAAUCCCAACAUGCUGUUAAGUUGUCCCAUUCCAGCGUUCAAGGGGAUGCGCCCCUGAAUUUCUCCCCAAACCCCACCCCAUUCACGUGGCUUUGGAGCCCACGCCAUCUGGGUGCCUAGACGUUCUGUGACGCCACUCCCAAGAGGUUGGAUUCUAAGUAAGGUCAGCAGUCAAGCGAAAUUCAGAAUCGAUGAUAUGUUAAACUUCCUUUGUGCGGAACUUAUCUAACAGUCAGCGUUAUCAAAGACUGGGUUAGUCAGUACCUUGUCACAGCAAUGUCGGAAUAGCAAAUAAUGGCCUUGCUAUGUUACCCCAAGUUUCCUAAGAAGAAAACUGCAAGAUAACAAAUGGGAGAAAAGGAACAUGUUUAUAUUUUGGUAAAUCGUCAAAAGUGUAUUAAAAAUCCAGUGUCGUCUACAUGCAUGUGAUAUUCAAAAUUUAAAGAGUUUUUUCUUUCAAUUAGAAAAAGAGAAAAUUAUGUUGGUAAGUGCCUGGGUAUCAGAAGGCCUCAAGUUUAAGUAUUUUUGUUAUUUUGAGUUCGCUGAUAGGUGGUAAUUCACUAUGACUAUCUAUUGGUCUUUAGUGUCUAUUGAAUACUUAACAAAUUAUAAAUAAUCUAAAGAUGUAUUUAUAGGUAGAGAAACUUCUUACAGAAUUGUGCCUGGUCAUAAUAACCUCUCCUCAGAGACCCCGAGUGACUAUGAAUUGGGUCCUUUUUCUCAGACAAAAUGAAAGAGAUGGAAAAUAUUUGCCAAGUUUGUUACCAUCAACAACAAAAUUGAAAUAAGUUUUAAAAAAUUACAUUACUUAUGUAUUUAUUUAUUUCUCUCCCCACCUCUGUGUGAGUGUGUGUGUACACGUGCUCAUGUGUGGGUGUGUGCAUGUUCCUGUAGGUGUGCAAUAGAACAUAUAAAUUGGUCACAGGACAACUUAUGAGAGACCAUUUUAUCUCCUAGAUCGGUCCUGGGUCCUGGAGAUCAAACUCAAGCCAUUAAGCUUGAUUUAUCUCACUGAACAAUCUUUCUGGUCUCUCAACGAUUUAAAAAAAAAAAACCUAUUUAAUGAACAUUUUCAAAACCUUAUGCUGCACAAUGUUGACUUUCUCACAAUUUCAGGUAUUAGAUGAAUGAUUCUUAUGUGAGUUCAUUUGAUAUUGGGGGGAAAGAGAUCAUAAGAAGUUACAGAUAUUAGACAUUUUUAAUUAUGAAGGUACAGUUUGUAUAUAAUUACCUGUUUGGAAGUGUUGAGUAUUCCUGAUAGUCUAUUAUAAAUAUGCACAUUUACACAUUGAUUGCUACUUUGCUAGUUUACAUAUGCUAAUGAAGACACAUAGUGAGACCGUGAUAUUGUUUCCUUUGUGUAAGCCCUCUGCCCGAUACUUUGCCAAGUAUGAAUUCUAAGGAGAGUGCUGUUGGACUGCACAGCACUGAAGUUAAGAGAAAGAGUCACCGGGAACGAAGAGGCAUGUACUCAGGAAGUUGUUUUAAAACC
rnacentral:lncRNA from 1 species